GACGAACGCUGGCGGCGUGCCUAACACAUGCAAGUCGAGCGGAGAUUUAAGUUUACUUAGAUUUUAGCGGCGGACGGGUGAGUAACGCGUGAGUAACCUGCCUUAUACAGAGGGAUAGCCUUGGGAAACUGGGAUUAAUACCUCAUGACAUAGCGAUAUCGCAUGAUAUUGUUAUCAAAAUGAAUGUGGUAUAAGAUGGACUCGCGUCUGAUUAGUUAGUUGGUGAGGUAACGGCUCACCAAGACAGCGAUCAGUAGCCGGCCUGAGAGGGUGAACGGCCACACUGGAACUGAGACACGGUCCAGACUCCUACGGGAGGCAGCAGUGGGGAAUAUUGCACAAUGGGGGAAACCCUGAUGCAGCGACGCCGCGUGAGCGAAGAA
rnacentral:rRNA from 1 species